AAAUUCACAAAACAUAAAUAAGACACAUAGUUCUGAAACCUCUGUACCCAACAGGAUCUGAAAUCUGACGUUUCUUGAUCGAUCAUGGAAAAAGUUGUUCAAACAAAAAGUAACAUACGAAGGUGCA